GCGACUAAGCGUACACGGUGGAUGCCCUGGCAGUCAGAGGCGAUGAAGGACGUGCUAAUCUGCGAUAAGCGUCGGUGAGGUGAUAUGAACCGUUAUAACCGGCGAUUUCCGAAUGGGGAAACCCAGUGUGUUUCGACACACUAUCAUUAACUGAAUCCAUAGGUUAAUGAGGCGAACCGGGGGAACUGAAACAUCUAAGUACCCCGAGGAAAAGAAAUCAACCGAGAUUCCCCCAGUAGCGGCGAGCGAACGGGGAGGAGCCCAGAGCCUGAAUCAGUGUGUGUGUUAGUGGAAGCGUCUGGAAAGGCGCGCGAUACAGGGUGACAGCCCCGUACACAAAAAUGCACAUACUGUGAGCUCGAUGAGUAGGGCGGGACACGUGGUAUCCUGUCUGAAUAUGGGGGGACCAUCCUCCAAGGCUAAAUACUCCUGACUGACCGAUAGUGAACCAGUACCGUGAGGGAAAGGCGAAAAGAACCCCGGCGAGGGGAGUGAAAAAGAACCUGAAACCGUGUACGUACAAGCAGUGGGAGCCUCUUAAUGGGGUGACUGCGUACCUUUUGUAUAAUGGGUCAGCGACUUAUAUUCUGUAGCAAGGUUAACCGAAUAGGGGAGCCGAAGGGAAACCGAGUCUUAACUGGGCGUUAAGUUGCAGGGUAUAGACCCGAAACCCGGUGAUCUAGCCAUGGGCAGGUUGAAGGUUGGGUAACACUAACUGGAGGACCGAACCGACUAAUGUUGAAAAAUUAGCGGAUGACUUGUGGCUGGGGGUGAAAGGCCAAUCAAACCGGGAGAUAGCUGGUUCUCCCCGAAAGCUAUUUAGGUAGCGCCUCGUGAAUUCAUCUCCGGGGGUAGAGCACUGUUUCGGCAAGGGGGUCAUCCCGACUUACCAACCCGAUGCAAACUGCGAAUACCGGAGAAUGUUAUCACGGGAGACACACGGCGGGUGCUAACGUCCGUCGUGAAGAGGGAAACAACCCAGACCGCCAGCUAAGGUCCCAAAGUCAUGGUUAAGUGGGAAACGAUGUGGGAAGGCCCAGACAGCCAGGAUGUUGGCUUAGAAGCAGCCAUCAUUUAAAGAAAGCGUAAUAGCUCACUGGUCGAGUCGGCCUGCGCGGAAGAUGUAACGGGGCUAAACCAUGCACCGAAGCUGCGGCAGCGACACUAUGUGUUGUUGGGUAGGGGAGCGUUCUGUAAGCCUGUGAAGGUGUACUGUGAGGUAUGCUGGAGGUAUCAGAAGUGCGAAUGCUGACAUAAGUAACGAUAAAGCGGGUGAAAAGCCCGCUCGCCGGAAGACCAAGGGUUCCUGUCCAACGUUAAUCGGGGCAGGGUGAGUCGACCCCUAAGGCGAGGCCGAAAGGCGUAGUCGAUGGGAAACAGGUUAAUAUUCCUGUACUUGGUGUUACUGCGAAGGGGGGACGGAGAAGGCUAUGUUGGCCGGGCGACGGUUGUCCCGGUUUAAGCGUGUAGGCUGGUUUUCCAGGCAAAUCCGGAAAAUCAAGGCUGAGGCGUGAUGACGAGGCACUACGGUGCUGAAGCGACAAAUGCCCUGCUUCCAGGAAAAGCCUCUAAGCAUCAGGUAACAUUAAAUCGUACCCCAAACCGACACAGGUGGUCAGGUAGAGAAUACCAAGGCGCUUGAGAGAACUCGGGUGAAGGAACUAGGCAAAAUGGUGCCGUAACUUCGGGAGAAGGCACGCUGAUAUGUAGGUGAAGCGACUUGCUCGUGGAGCUGAAAUCAGUCGAAGAUACCAGCUGGCUGCAACUGUUUAUUAAAAACACAGCACUGUGCAAACACGAAAGUGGACGUAUACGGUGUGACGCCUGCCCGGUGCCGGAAGGUUAAUUGAUGGGGUUAGCGGUAACGCGAAGCUCUUGAUCGAAGCCCCGGUAAACGGCGGCCGUAACUAUAACGGUCCUAAGGUAGCGAAAUUCCUUGUCGGGUAAGUUCCGACCUGCACGAAUGGCGUAAUGAUGGCCAGGCUGUCUCCACCCGAGACUCAGUGAAAUUGAACUCGCUGUGAAGAUGCAGUGUACCCGCGGCAAGACGGAAAGACCCCGUGAACCUUUACUAUAGCUUGACACUGAACAUUGAGCCUUGAUGUGUAGGAUAGGUGGGAGGCUUUGAAGUGUGGACGCCAGUCUGCAUGGAGCCGACCUUGAAAUACCACCCUUUAAUGUUUGAUGUUCUAACGUGGGCCCCUUACCGGGGUUGCGGACAGUGUCUGGUGGGUAGUUUGACUGGGGCGGUCUCCUCCUAAAGAGUAACGGAGGAGCACGAAGGUUGGCUAAUCCUGGUCGGACAUCAGGAGGUUAGUGCAAUGGCAUAAGCCAGCUUGACUGCGAGCGUGACGGCGCGAGCAGGUGCGAAAGCAGGUCAUAGUGAUCCGGUGGUUCUGAAUGGAAGGGCCAUCGCUCAACGGAUAAAAGGUACUCCGGGGAUAACAGGCUGAUACCGCCCAAGAGUUCAUAUCGACGGCGGUGUUUGGCACCUCGAUGUCGGCUCAUCACAUCCUGGGGCUGAAGUAGGUCCCAAGGGUAUGGCUGUUCGCCAUUUAAAGUGGUACGCGAGCUGGGUUUAGAACGUCGUGAGACAGUUCGGUCCCUAUCUGCCGUGGGCGCUGGAGAACUGAGGGGGGCUGCUCCUAGUACGAGAGGACCGGAGUGGACGCAUCACUGGUGUUCGGGUUGUCAUGCCAAUGGCACUGCCCGGUAGCUAAAUGCGGAAGAGAUAAGUGCUGAAAGCAUCUAAGCACGAAACUUGCCCCGAGAUGAGUUCUCCCUGAGACUUAGAGUCUCCUGAAGGAACGUUGAAGACGACGACGUUGAUAGGCCGGGUGUGUAAG
rnacentral:rRNA from 1 species